CUAUACAUGCAAGUCGAACGCGCAGCGAGAGGUGCUUGCACCUUUCAAGCGAGUGGCGAACGGGUGAGUAACACGUGGAUAACCUGCCUCAAGGCUGGGGAUAACAUUUGGAAACAGAUGCUAAUACCGAAUAAAACUUAGUAUCGCAUGAUAUCAAGUUAAAAGGCGCUACGGCGUCACCUAGAGAUGGAUCCGCGGUGCAUUAGUUAGUUGGUGGGGUAAAGGCUUACCAAGACAAUGAUGCAUAGCCGAGUUGAGAGACUGAUCGGCCACAUUGGGACUGAGACACGGCCCAAACUCCUACGGGAGGCUGCAGUAGGGAAUCUUCCACAAUGGGCGCAAGCCUGAUGGAGCAACGCCGCGUGUGUGAUGAAGGCUUUCGGGUCGUAAAGCACUGUUGUAUGGGAAGAAAUGCUAAAAUAGGGAAUGAUUUUAGUUUGACGGUACCAUACCAGAAAGGGACGGCUAAAUACGUGCCAGCAGCCGCGGUAAUACGUAUGUCCCGAGCGUUAUCCGGAUUUAUUGGGCGUAAAGCGAGCGCAGACGGUUGAUUAAGUCUGAUGUGAAAGCCCGGAGCUCA
rnacentral:rRNA from 1 species